UAUGUGUUAAGAAAUCAAAUGUUCUUCAUGUUUGGAAUCUGAGCUCCAAGACAACUGAUGAGAGUUUGAAGGAGCAUUUAACUCAACUGUUGAAGCAGGAACAGCAGAUUCUGAGUGUCAGGAUAAAAAAAGAUUGGCGGAAUAAUAUUCCAAUUGGUGAGGCUUAUGUAGAAUUCGAUUCUAUAAAGACAGCGACCAGAGUCUACAGAUAUCUACAGGAUACUGUUGUGGAUGAAUAUCGUUUGCAAUUUUCAUUCCGUGAGAAGAACCGAAAUUCAGAGACUAGGACAAAGUUACAUGUGAGACGUGUCUCUCCUGACGCAACCAAGAAAGAUCUCAAACAGCUUUUCGAGCCGUUUGGAGCGCUCAAGAGUGUUGACCUUCCAUUGUAUGAUAAUGGACAGCGUGGUUCUAUCGCUUAUGUUGACUUUUGCGAACAUCAAGAUGCUAAAAACGCUAAAAAGGCAUUGACUAACACUCUCUUA